rnacentral:rRNA from 1 species
GACGAACGCUGGCGGCGUGCUUAACACAUGCAAGUCGAACGGAAAGGCCCUGCUUUUGUGGGGUGCUCGAGUGGCGAACGGGUGAGUAACACGUGAGUAACCUGCCCUUGACUUUGGGAUAACUUCAGGAAACUGGGGCUCAUACCGGAUAGGAUCUACUGCUGCAUGUGGUGGGUUGGAAAGUUUCGGCGGUUGGGGAUGGACUCGCGGCUUAUCAGCUAGUUGGUGAGGUAGUGGCUUACCAAGGCUUUGACGGGUAGCCGGCCUGAGAGGGUGACCGGCCACAUUGGGCCUGAGAGACGGCCCAGACUCCUACGGGAGGCAGAAGUGGGGAAUAUUGCACAAUGGGCGGAAGCCUGAUGCAGCAACGCCGCGGGCGGGAUGACGGCCUUCGGGUUGUAAACCGCUUUCGCCUGUGACGAAGCGUGAGUGACGGUAAUGAGUCAAGAAGCACCGGCUAACUACGUG